GUCAUGGUUCGAAAUGCUCUCAGACUGUUGAAGGGUCAGGGUAGGACGUAGUUUCCUCGUGGUCAAUGUAAACAUUCCAGGCCAUAACCUCUCAGCCCCAGUGCAAUGGAUUUCCAAUCUGCAAUGGAAACAUUUGCAGAGGCAUGGGUGGCAGCCAACACCCAGACCCCCUUGACUGAAGCUGCAGAAACACAGGUCGUUCAAGCAUUUUUGGAGACUUCGUAUCCGUACGAGUAACUUCUGUCCAGCCUUCAGCCCAUUAUCCAUUUAGACAUUUAUAUCCCUAUUCUACUGUUUUCUGAACCGUCUUACUUAAUUGGCCAUAGUUCAAAAAUGAUGAACGCAGUUUCAGAGCGUUUAACUACAGCCGGGAAGUUUCAAUCAGCGUGCCAUAAAAAUCAUCAUCGCUCGAGAUCGUGAAAGCAUUAAGUGAUGGCUUUUAAAAUCAAGUUUAAAACUGACCAUAUCAUAAUUCAAAUUGGCUUCAUCAUUUCUAGAUUUUGGUUUCAAACCAUAAUUUGAAACCAAGUCUGUCAGGUAGUUUUCAUUAUGUGUAUUUACAUGGACUGUCAAAUUAUGCUAGUGGAAAAUGUUGCAUCUAAUAAAUCUUGUUGUAUAAAGCAAU